AUAAUGGUGUCUUUAGACACCAUCGAAUCUUAGCUUGGAUAUGUUU
rfam:Picea glauca, whole genome shotgun sequence.